rnacentral:lncRNA from 1 species
AUAAUGUAAUUUUAAAAUUAAUGUAAAUAUUUUUUUAAAUGAUGUUGAAAUAGUAAAAAGUUUACAAUGAAGUUAAGCUAAAGCAGUUGGUUAACUAAGCAGGUAUAUCUCCAUACAAGUUGUUAUUCAGGAUCCUAUAUAUUCAUGAGAAGUUUGUUAAAAUAAUUCACAGAAGAAAAGUCUCUUUUACGACAAAAUAAGAAAUAUAUAGAAAGUGGGAC